UCACAGGGCUUCACACCUUCAAGGGGAAGAACAUUGCGCCAUGAAACUUCCUUGCUCUAGGCCUGCCAGGAAGUUCAGUGAUGGAGCUGAGGAAAAGUGCGGCAGGCUGGCAGCAGGCCUUGUGACGACACAGCGGGGAAACCACAGGAUUCUGCAUUCUUCUGACCACAAGAGGAAGAGAUGGGAUCUUACUAUGUUGCCCAGGAUAUUCUCAAACUCUUGGCUUCAAGUGAUACUCCUGCCUUGGCCUCCCAGAUUGCUGGGAUUACAGAGUUGAAAGAUCACCUGGACCACUCCAUUCAGUUUACAGAAGACGACACUGAGGUCUCGAGUGAGGGAUUAAGUACCCAAGAUGUCACAGCAGAUAAUGGCAGAGUCAUGAUUUCUAACAAACAAACAGAAGAAGCAAGUCCCCUGCCUGUCGUCAGCCGGAGCCCCUCUGCUACGCCUGCUCCCCUGUUUCCCAUGGACUGCCUCAUCUUUUGCCUCUAGUUUGAGCCUGAAAGUUACACCUCCAAUGAAUGAAACUCACAGGAUCAUUGGCAUCCAGUCUUCCUCCUCCACACCCACUCUCGGCCACCUGCCCUUCUCAUCCACAGGUGGGAGCAAAGCUUGGUCAACCUGAUAGGCCUCUUCCAGGCAGGGACAGGAGAAGGGACGGCACAGCAGCUCUGAGUCAGGACUCCUUUCGGUAAGGCGUGGCCGCCAGGAAGGCCUGAGAGAAGGAAACCAGCCCAGGUGCGCUCUGUUUACCUUCUCGGCUCACAAACAUGACCAGACCCUCCUUGGCUGGCUGGAUGAAGUCCCAGCCACUUAGUCCAGCCCUCGAGCCUCUCCCAUUCCAGCCACAGUCUGCCUGGCCAGUUCCAUCCCCCUACGGCUUUCCUGGUGUACCACACCAUCCUCGGAUUGCAGCUCGCCCUCUUGGGCCUUUCUGGCCUAGCAGGUGCUGUUCCUUCAGCUCCAAUGCCCUUCCCUGCCUCUCCACCCGGCAAGCUCCUUCUCUUUGUAUCUUCUGCACUAACACUUCCCUCCUCCCUCCCCUUCCCCUCUUUUUCCUUUGUGCCCCGGUGGCACUUCUGAGACAAUGUUACAAGCAUAAUAAAAUAACAAAAUCAUGAA